rnacentral:rRNA from 1 species
CCCUUCAGAGGGGGACAACAGUUGGAAACGACUGCUAAUACCGCAUACGAUCCAAUCUCGGCAUCGAGGAUGGAUGAAAGGUGGCCUCUAUUUAUAAGCUAUCACUGAAGGAGGGGAUUGCGUCUGAUUAGCUAGUUGGAGGGGUAGCGGCCCACCAAGGCGAUGAUCAGUAGCCGGUCUGAGAGGAUGAACGGCCACAUUGGGACUGAGACACGGCCCAG